rnacentral:lncRNA from 1 species
CUGGGGCUGCCUUACCCUAAAUUCUUUUAUUGAAGCUGAUCUUAACGUCGACCCCGUGGGGCCUGGCUGGGCGAUCCAGCUCACCACAGAUGCAGGCACUUUCAAGAUUGCAGCAAAAGGGCCUGGAGCUUGAGCUGGAACCCACGCUGCUUGUCUGGGGCUUGAGCCGCCUUCAUCACGCAUGCCAGCUCACCCCUGAGUCACACCUGCUCCCUGAGCCUCUGGCUCGGGGCCUCCCA